GCCCUCCUAGCUCAAUCGGAAGAGCGUGGGACUUUUACGAGCGUAAAUGCCAAUAAAAAUAUCCCAAGGUCGGGAGUUCGAGCCUCCCGGAGGGCG
rnacentral:tRNA from 1 species